rnacentral:rRNA from 1 species
UACGUAGGGGGCAAGCGUUGUCCGGAAUCAUUGGGCGUAAAGAGCGCGUAGGCGGCCCUGUAAGUCCGCUGUGAAAGUCAAGGGCUCAACCCUUGGAUGCCGGUGGAUACUGCAGGGCUAGAGUCCGGAAGAGGCGAGUGGAAUUCCUGGUGUAGCGGUGAAAUGCGCAGAUAUCAGGAGGAACACCGAUGGCGAAGGCAGCUCGCUGGGACGGUACUGACGCUGAGGCGCGAAAGCGUGGGGAUCAAACAGG